rnacentral:tRNA from 1 species
GGCAGUGUAGCUUAGUGGAUAGAGCACUAGCCUUGGAUGCUGGUUCUAUUCCUGGUUCUGCCA